UUAAGGAAUCUAUUCCUGAAAUCGUUGUUACACUAUAUGCUAACUAACUUGCAUGUAAAAUUUAAAAAAUAAAUUAAAAACAAAUAAAAAAACUGAUCUUUAUUCAUCUCAUAGACAAUACAGGAUAAUAAAGGAAUUUGUAUACAUCACUAUGCCACAAGUUUGGUAAUUUAGAUAAAAUGGAGCAAUUGGGCAAAACUACCAACACUCAAACAAGAAGAGCUAGAUAAUCUGACUAUGGUGAUAUCUAUUAACAGUUUUGAAUCAGUAUUUAAUAAAAUUCCAAAGAUAAAAGUGCUAGUACUAUAUGAAUUCAGUGGUGAAUUUUACUAAACAUUUAAGGAAGAUAUGACACCAAUUGUCUACAACCUCUUCCAGAAAAGAGAAGCAAAGAGAACACUUUCCAACACAUCCUAUGAGGCUAGAAUUACACUAAUCCCCCAAACCAGAUAAAGACAUCAUAAAACAAAUGGGAAACAACAGACCCACGUCUCUUCUGGACAUACAUGCAAAAAGUCCUCAGUAAAAUAUUAGUAAAUUGGAUCUAACAGCAAAUAGGAUUAUGCAUUGUGGCUAAGUAGGAUCUAUCCCUAAUGUGCAUGGUUAAAAUCCAACAAUAUCAGAAGCUGGUGAAAAUACAGACUCCCAGGAACUCUCAUUCAUUGAUGGUGGGAAUACAAAAUGGCACAGCCUCUUUGGAAGAUAGUUGGGUAGUUUCUAAGCAUGGUCUUACCAGUAAACUUCUUGGUAUUUACCCAACUGAGUUGACAACUUGUAUCCAUUAACACACUCAAAAAAACCCCGGAACAUAAAUGUUUAUAGCAGUCUUAUUCCUAAUUGACCACCCUGGAAGCAGUCAAAAUGUUUAUCAAUAGGGAAUGGAUGAACAAACUUUGGUAUAUCCAUACAGUGAAAUAUUAUUCAGGGACAAAAGAAAAUGAACUAUCAAACCACAAAAAGAUAUGGAAGACUCUUCAAUGCAUAUUGCUAAGUGAAAUAAACGAGUCUGAAAAGAAUACACAUUGUAUUAUUCCACUGUAUGUCUUUCUGGAAAACUGUAGAGACAUAGAAAAACAUAGAGAUAAAAAAGAUCAGUGGUUACAGGGGUUGGAGGGGAGAGAGGAAGGAUGAAAUUGAGGCAUAAGACAAUGAAACUGUUCUAUGUGAUGCUAUAUUGGUGGGUGUAUGAAAUCUGUUAAAGUCUAUAGAAAUGUACAACUUUAUUAUAAGUGAUGGGUUUUUAUUCAAUAAUAAUAUACUCAUACUGUUUAAUUGAUUUAGCAAAUGUACUAUACUAACCCAAGUUGUUAAUAAAAGAGGAAACUCUGGGAGAGGGGAGUGUGUGGGAGCUUUGUAUUAUCUGCCUUGUUCUUCUGCAAAUCUAAAACUGCUUUAAAAGUAAAGUCUAUUAAUUAUAAAGGACAAAAAUAUUCAAAAUAAUAAUAUAUGUUUAAUUUCAGUUUGCCUGUAACAUACUCAGAAAUCCAUGUCAUUGAAACAAAUUUCAGUUUUGGAAUAAUCAGAUUGUCCAAAAGAGGGUGCCAAAGACUUAUAAAGAUCUCUUCUUUGGCUAUGCAAAAGGAAGUUAAAUAAUAAAAUAGACUUAAUAGAACAAAAAGCAGAAGGCUGGAGCAUAAGUCAACAGGCAUGAUACUUAUCUACAUCUUGCCUAAGACUUCUAUCCUCCUUCCUUAAGAUUCCGAUCCAUUAUCUUUGUUCUUUGGUGCUACUGCUUUGCUGUGUAUGAAGGUGUAAUGUACCCUGAUGAUACUCAGCUAUGAUGUGGACUCCAAAGGGGCCUGCGGUAAGCUGGUUGUGACAAUUACAUUUGACUCUGUUUUGAACAACUAUGGACAUAGGCUUGUAUAAAUUGUCUUUAAAUGGGAGUUUUGCAGAUUUAUGUUUUUUCCAACUUACAAUAUUUGCAGUGAUAUAAAUUCUUCUUUUCACUUUUUGACAAAGCCUUUAAGAAUUCAAUCUUGAAUUUCUCUGUUCCUAGCACCCUAAGUCAUAGAGGCUAUAAUCUGCGACUAAGUAUAAAGGCACCAACACAAUUCAUUCUUCAAGAUACCUUUUGACAAGUAAUUUUGUCGAGGACGGAAUCUCCUUGUUAGGGUAAUAAUAUCACAGGUCAAACUCCUGCUCAUUUUUCAGGUUGUGGCACAGAGGUCACUUUUUCUUUGAAGACUUUUUUCAACGUCUAUUUAUUUUUGGGACAGAGAGAGACAGAGCAUGAAUGGGGGAGGGGCAGAGAGAGAGGGAGACACAGAAUCGGAAACAGGCUCCAGGCUCUGAGCCAUCAGCCCAGAGCCCGACGCGGGGCUCGAACUCACGGACCGCGAGAUCGUGACCUGGCUGAAGUCGGACGCUCAACCGACUGUGCCACCCAGGCGCCCCUGAAGACUUUUUUGAAUCCACCUAGCACAGCUUGGCCCCUCUUCCUUCGGUUCUGCUUCCUCUGCUCUUAGCAUGCACGUGAAUUGAGUAUUGAAACAGUAUCUGCAGUUUACUGUCUACAUUAACAUGACUUUAUUAUUCCAUUGCCUUUGACAUAACUUCAAUCUUUCAUGAGACUCCUUCCCAGGAAGAUACAGCUUUUAAAAAACGUUUUCAUUCCAAGGUCUUCCAGAUAGUUCUGUCAGCUCAUUAAUAGAAACCAUCUGUGGACAGUUUACAUCAGACUCUGAAAUCCCUCACCUCAACACUCUUGCAUUGCUGUGCCCACUAAUUCUAAGCCAUUACAUCGUGAUUCCUACUCAGUAGUAAUCAAGCCUCCACACUGAAAGACCUGCCUUAAAUCGGACUUCAAAAUCUCAGAAAAUAUCCUGACUUUGUCCUUCCCUCUCCAGGACAUUACUAAGACUCUGCUGACCCAGUGUUCUCUGUCACCAUGGUGUUCUGGUGGUUGUAGAAAGCACAGGUACUUCUUGGGUCAUUGGGUCUGGGAGAAGCCAGCUGUUCUGCCAUGAGGACUUUCAUACAGCCUGCCAGAGACAUCCAUGAAGUGAGGACAUAUGACUUCCUGCAAACAACCAGUACCAACUUGACAUUGCAUUAGUGAGUCACCUUGGAGUUCAUUCUCCAGCCGCAUUUAAGCUUUCAUAUUAUUGUAGUCCUGGCCAAUAUGCCAAGUGCAAUGUCAUGAGAGACACUGAGUUAGAAGUACCCUUUCAAUUUGUCCUGAAUUCCUUACCCACUGAAAUGGUAGAUUUUCCACUUCUUGCCAUGUUGAAGUAACUGGUGCUGGGCUUGUCUUGCUAUAAAAAAUGUAAAAAUUUUUAAAAACUGGAAAAACGUACGAAACAAUGGUUUUUCAGAAAUUGGGCAAUAGGCGGUGAAGGACUAUGAUCCAGGGAAAGGGAAAGAAAUGACGUGAGCCCUACAAUUGCUCUGGCUACAGUUACAUGGAGAUCUUUUGUGUUCUUUGGCACCAGAAAGGAUAACCCAGGCAGAGUAUAACAUUCCCAUUGAGUUGAGAAGAUAGAGAUUAGAGUCUGGGGAAGAUGAAGUGGGUGGAAUUUGCAGGGCAGGGUACUCAAGAAGAGGGAGUCAUGCAGAAAACGGUUCCAAAGGUCAGAAUAGGGGUCCUCUUGCAUCUGUUGCUGAACACUGGGCUUCACAUAUGUGGGAUGUGAAAGCGCCACAGGGCAGCACAAAGAACAGCUCGGGAGCUGGAAGCCCAGCAACUUCUAGAACUCACCUAUGGCUGGGGUACAGUUUCCACUAAACCUUACUGCUUGGUCGACAGAGACAGGCUUUAGUAAUAAGGCCCAACUGAUGGGCCACCUGGGUGGCUCAUUCGGUGAAGUGUCUGACUCUUGGUUUGAGCUUAGGUCAUGAUCUCACAGUUCGUGAGUUUGACAAGCUCUGCAUCGGGC